rnacentral:rRNA from 1 species
AGGGAAUCUUCCGCAAUGGACGAAAGUCUGACGGAGCAACGCCGCGUGAGUGAUGAAGGUUCUCGGAUCGUAAAGCUCUGUUGCCAGGGAAGAACGUCCUUAAGAGUAACUGCUUAAGGAGUGACGGUACCUGAGAAGAAAGCCCCGGCUAACUACGUGCCAGCAGCCGCGGUAAUACGUAGGGGGCAAGCGUUGUCCGGAAUUAUUGGGCGUAAAGCGCGCGCAGGCGGCUGUUAAGUCUGGUGGUUAAUCCUGGGGCUCAACCCCGGGUCGCACUGGAAACUGGACGGCUUGAGUGCAGAAGAGGAGAGUGGAAUUCCACGUGUAGCGGUGAAAUGCGUAGAGAUGUGGAGGAACACCAGUGGCGAAGGCGACUCUCUGGGCUGUAACUGACGCUGAGGCGCGAAAGCGUGGGGAGCAAAC